CACACACUUCUUCCAUAAAUAAACAACGUUGAAUAAUUUAGAAAAUUAUCAACGACACAAUCUAAGAAAUAAAAUGAGAGCUAGAUUGCAUUAUUUAUAGUAAGGCAAACCCUCACUUUCAAGUUUCAACCAUAGUCCUUUUUAUUACGGAGUUAGGGUUUUGCGGUAUUGGAGUAUUUUCCAAUUAAGGGAACAUGAACCCGACGGCUUGCUGGGGAGGUACUUGAGUGGCCGGCCUGUCAAGAUUUAGCGACUCGUUGAGUUCGCAAGGGACAUGAAACCCAUCGACUCGUUGGCGAGCGUUUGUAUUCGGUAUUAAAUUUUUAAAUUCAAAUUGUUUGAUGCAUCUCAUGUUCCUAUAGUUUUACUUAUAUUCAAAAUACACUUGUUGAAGCAAGAUGUCGCCGAAGUGACAUUUCUUGUCUAGACUUGUUUAUUGCGAAUGUUGGGAUGAUGAUGUGUGUCUGUAUUUAAUGUCGAUAUUAGUUGGCUGCAAGGAGAAUUAAUAUUUGGCACGAGAUACACACAUACACGUGGUGAUAAACACAUGACAAUUAUCGAGUUUCGUGGAAGUAGUGUGAUACACAAAGACGGACACUACUUGAAAUGAUCAUAUUGUUAAUGUUUGAUCACUAUAAAGAUGUUGUCAUUUACAAGUUCAUAUUAUUGUCCAAAGACUAUAUGAACGUUUUGCUCGGUACCUUGAGAUGUUACCUUUUUAUUUAAAAGUAGAUCAAAUAUAAAAAGUUAGGUAUCAAUAGAGCUACAAAUGUCUUAAAAUUGAUACAUACAAGAAUUUGAGGUCCAUUCACUUCGCCUUUUUGGAAUGAUCAACAAUAUUUUGUAUCAUUCAUAGACGACUGUUCUUGAUAUGGUAACUAUAUUUAAUUUAUGAAAAGUCUGACGCUAUAGAGAAGUUCAAAAUACUCAAGGCGAAGUUGGACUUCAACUCAACAAAAGCAUUAAGAGAGUCAAAUAUGAGAGUGGUAGCGAAUACUACGGUAGAAAUGACGGCUCAGGUGAACAACGCCAACGACCUUUUACUUUCUAUUUGGAAGAGUGUGUGAUUGUCCCUCAGUUCACCAUAUCGGAGUCGUCUAUCAUGAACGGUGUAGCUGAAAGACUGAAAAUAAGACUCUAAAAGGUAUGGUAAUGAGCAUGUUUUCUCAUUCCUUAUUGCCACAAUCACUUUGGGAGAUACAUUAUAUAUUGCAACAUAUAUUCUCAAUAUGGUUUUUAGCAACUUUAUUUGUUAUCUAGAAAAAUCUGCAUAAAUAAAGUAUUAUGUGUUGUCCAUUACUUGUGAUUUGUUUUGGUUUUGGUUUUGGUUUGAUCUCACUAAGAAUUUGGUAGGACCAGUUGAAAAUAGACAUGUAUGCUUACCUUGUAUGUAAUUUCACGCUACACUACAUAAUUGAUAUGUUGUUGAUUAUAUUUGUAUCUGUGAUUACUGAUGAGUUUAAUCACGAAAAAUGUGAUGACUGUCUCUUUAGUCCUAUGUAGAUAUACCCAUGGUUCUAGAAUAGGUGGUUACGGUUCUGAACCGCUGGUUCCGAUUUUAGAAAUUGCCGAACUAGAACUGUACCGUGAGGGUGUUUUGAGGUUACAGUUAAGGUUUCAAAAUCGCUGGUUUUGGUUUCGGUUCCGAACCGUCGGUUUUCCGUUGUUUUUUUUAACAGUUUUCAUGGUUUUGAACCACCGGUUUUUGUGGUUUUUUGCGGUUCCGGCUUGGUUUCACGGUUUUCCUGCAGUUUUUAGCGGUUCUGACACAGUUUCAGUUCCGGAAUUUUCGAAGAUGAACCGGACAUGAUUCAAAAAGUGAUGGAUUCGAUUCCAGUUAAAUCUCACGAUUCUGCUUCGAAACAGUAACUGCGGUUACAGUCUCGCGGUUAACCACCCGAACCAUAAACCUUGAGCAUCUCUAGUCUGAUGCUGAUGUAGUUAAUAAUAAGAUCAUUCGGGAAAACACUACGUGAUAACAUAUUUUGAGCGCUCAUUCGAUUUGUACACAUUUAUUAAUUGGUGUCAUGCGUUGCCCAAACGAGAGAUUAUUAGAAUUUUGGGCUUACACAUGACUAAUACAACGUGCAUGACUAUCUUUCAAGUGCCCAAUACAACUGAUCCAUUAAAAAUUAAGUUUGAGCUAAAGUGUAUUUAAUCACCCAUGAAAUUUGUUAUUUGUUGAUGGAUUAAAUAGAAAAUAAAGGGUUUUAUAUUUUCUAUGAAUAUAAGCUAGGGUUAUGGUCCUCAGACAUUAAAAGAACGGUUCCAUAUUUAUGUAUUCCUUCUUUAGCAUAUUGACAAGAACGUUUCUGAUCAUUUGAAAGAUCAUAUCAGUUAAUUUAGGUAUCCUUCUCUUCCUUCUCUUCCUCUUUCUUUCAUUAAGUAUCAUAUCAGUUCAUUUAAGUAUACCACCAUUAAAUCACUAAUUUAAGUAUUCUUCUCUUCCUCUUUCUUACUUUAUUAAUUUUAUGUUCAUUUGUGUAUCAUAUGUUUAUAUUUUUAUUGGACGGAGAGAGUAUAUUUGUAGUUUCCAUUACUAGUCUCUAUCUUUUGUUGUCGUCUACAUAAAUACUUACUUCCCACCUUUAACAAUAAUAUGUGCCCUCCAUCGUUAGAAUUCUGGCUAUGUCAUCAAUGGCUACGUCACCAGCUUACACUCGAUGUGUAUGCUCCUUAUUUACGUAAUUAUUUAUUGUGCUAUUACACCAUGGAAUAUGACACAAAGAGGGGGCAGACCCAUUUUCUGCAUUUUAGCUUAUUCUCUCUCAAAGACCAUUAUCUCUCUCUCAGUCUUCUCUGGUUCUUGGAAGGUAUGUCUUCACUUAUUUGUAGUUAUUACUUCUUUAGUUUUGUUAUUUCUAACAUAUCGGAGAGAUCACGUGUGUAUAUAUUUGUGCUUGUAUAUAAAUGUCAAGUAGGUCCUUUUCAGGUUUAGGAUUUUGAAUUUCUGGUUUUGAUUAAUGUACGUCCAAGGUUUUUGAAAGUUUUAUCUGUUCUUUAUAAGCUUAUUAUUCUCUGGGUUUUCUUUAGUUAGUAUAUUUGAAAUCAAGAUUUCAUUUUUACCUUUUAUAAUAAGUCUUCAAUUUUAAUUUGAUUUAGUUGAAUUAAAAACUUCAUUUUUAUCGUCGGGUAAUAUUGUUUGAGGGUCUUAUAUUCUGGGUUGAACUUUGAUUUUGUGAAUUUUGUAGUCUUGAAACUUUCUUGACUUUUGUUACAGGCAGUGGUAAGGGGAAAAGGGGUGAUGUUGUAAUAUAUGUUAAAGGAGGUUAUGAUUUCAUAUUAUAUGAUUCUAGUUUUGUAGUUUAUUUUCUUUCUUGAAUUUGUUGUUGGGAGUGUAAGUAAUGGAUAAGAAUUUCAGCAGUAUUAGUGGACCAAUUUCAAGAAUGAGAUCAAACAAAGAAGCCCUUCAUGUGUUUCCUACGCCAAAUUUGAUCAAUGAUCUGAGGAUUAGUGAUAGGUUCUCAAAUGGGAACAGAACUGAUAAUUCCAGGCAUAUGUCGAACCAGUUCAGUUUCGACACCAGGGUGCAGUCACCAGAGGAUAUCGAUUUUAGAGAUGAAGUGCUCAAGUUCAUAAACCACAUCCUCAUGGAAGAGGAAGUGGAAGAUGAAACUUGCAUGUUUCAAGAGUCUGCUGCUCUUCAAGCUGCAGAGAAGUCGUUCUAUGAGGUUCUCGGAGAGCAGUGUCCUGCUUUGAGCGAUAAUCAGCAGGCUCCCAAUCCGGAUCAGGGUGUCGAAAGCAAGUUUCUUGAAGAGUCAAGAGGUAGUGUUUAUGAUCCUAGUGAUGUAGAGUCGUUUUCUCCUGAUUGGUUUUAUAAUGGAAAUAAUAUUACUGUCAAUGAUCCACACUCGACUUGUCGGUCAUUGUACAUUACAUCGUCUAGCAAUGCUACCUUAGCCGAUGGGCCCUUUAGUUCACCUGUUAGCCCUCUCAAAAUCUCUGAUGUGUUCAGCGAGCAAGAGUUGGCUAUGCAAUUCAUGAAGGGAGCUGAAGAAGCGAAUAAAUUUCUUGACUGUGGCAGCAACUUGAUUAUGAGUAUUAUUAAUGAUGAGUCGAGAGAGACCCCUGAUAUACCAAGGGGGAAGAAGAAUCCCCAUCAUGAGACCUUAGAGGAAAGGAGCAGCAAGCAGUCAGCCGUUUCUUCCGACACUGAUGUGAGUGGUGACAUGUUUGAUAUGGUUCUUCUGUCCAGUGGAGGAAAGAACGAAUCUGCGCUACGUAAAGAAUUGAGUGGAGUAACUAAAAGCACUCCACAAGAGGAUCAUUCAGAGGGAGUUAAUGGUGGGAGCAAGAAAAAAGGAGGAAGGACAAGUGUGGUUGAUUUGAGAACCUUACUGAGCCUUUGUGCACAAGCCGUUGCAGUUGAUGACCAUGGGACAGCAUAUGAUUACCUGAAGCAGAUUCGACAACAUGCUACUCCGGCUGGGGAUGGGAUGCAGAGACUUGCCUUUUACUUUGCUGAUGGCCUCGAGGCACGCAUGGCUGGAUAUGGAGAUCUCACAUAUGCUCGUGCUCCUACGUUCCCUACCUCGGCUGCUGACAUCCUCAAGGCCUAUCAUAUACUAAUUGCUACCUGUCCAUUUCGGAAGAUAUCUAAUUUCUUUGCUAAUAAAACCAUCAUGAAUGUUUCUGAGAAAGUCACGAAGCUCCACAUUGUCGAUUUUGGCAUUCUCUAUGGUUUCCAAUGGCCUAGCUUUAUGCAACGUCUAUCUACUCGACCCGGUGGGCCCCCAAAGCUUCGUAUCACUGGCAUUGAUCUUCCGUGUCCAGGUUUCCGGCCAUCAGCAAGGGUUGAAGAGACCGGGAGGCGUUUGUCUAGUUAUGCUGACACUUUUGGAGUUCCGUUUGAGUUCAACGCGAUUGCUAAAAAAUGGGAAACGAUAAAACUUGGCGAUCUUACGAUAGAGAAAGACGAGUUGCUUGUGGUAAGCUGUAUUAACAGAUUCAGGAGUCUUCUCGAUGAGAGUGUGUUAGUGAAUAGCCCGAGAAAUAUUGUUCUAGGCCUUAUCAGGAAGAUGAAUCCUGCCGUUUUCGUCCAGGGGGCUAUGAAUGGCUCGUAUAGUGCCCCUUUCUUCAUUACAAGAUUCCGGGAGGCAAUGUUUCAUUUCUCGUCCCUUUUUGACAUGCUCGACACCAUUAUUCCCCGAGAGAUUCAUGAGAGGAUGCUUCUUGAGAAGACGCUGUUUGGACAAGGCAUUGUGAACGUAAUAUCUUGUGAAGGAGCUGAUAGGAUCGAUAGACCAGAGACUUACAAGCAAUGGCAGAUCCGGAACACUAGAGCUGGAUUCGUGCAGCUUCCGCUGGACAGGGAGAUAGUGAAAAUGGCUAGAAGAAAAGUCAAGUCAUCCUACCACAAGGAUUUUGUGAUCGACGAAGAUGGCCACUGGAUGUUGCAAGGGUGGAAAGGGCGCAUCAUAUACGCGCUCUCUUCUUGGAGGCCCGCUGAUUGAACUCAACUCGUUACUGGUAGUAAAGGCCAGAUGACUGGUCGCUGUUCGUGCAGGCUUGUGCAUCAGAUGUCGAACAUCCACUUGUUAGAAGCAAGGUAAUGUAAUAUUUCUUGAUGUUGGCAAAAAGACAUUGAAGAAGGCCCGUGGUAUAGGCUUAAACGGAAACGAUAACGUUUUGUUUCGACCGAUUUCAUCUGCAACCACAUUACAGAGCAAUAUAUGCAGGCUCACAGAAUAGCCAUAAAUUUACAUUUCCUUGUAUCAGAUUUAUGAGUUUUCUGCAUAACCUAUCAUCCUUGGCCUAUUUCUGGAUUUACGAGUUUUCUGCAUCUUCAUAUAUAGUGUUGCCAUUUUCUUCUUUGAUAGAUUAGAGCUUUUUCCGUGGUGUUACUGACGCUUGAAUCUUGAUUUGUUUAUAGUAAUGAAUCUUUUAGCUUUCCGGAUUUUA